GCAGCGGUAGGAGGUGGAGGACGGGAGAGCCGUAAGGAGACGUCCUGGCUGGGCCCCGGAUCCCCGCCAGCAGCUCCCGCCUCGGCGCGGCCCGUGAAGAGCAGCCGGGACCGUGGCAGCUGGGCUGCCGGUGCUGACCGCCAGGCACGGGGGCAACGGGGCCGGUUCAGCUGCCAACAGCUGCCGGCGCCGGGCCUCGGGCAGCUGACAGCUGCGGUUGGCGGCAGGACCAGCAGGGGGCGCCCCGGCCCUUCCCAAUGGCCCGUCCCGCUCGGCCCGACACGAGCAGGGAGCUGCCGUGGGUGCGGAGCCGAGCCGGGUCAGACCCGCGGCGGGGACAGCGGGGACAACCCGGGUGUCUGCAGGCUGAGAGGAGCAAACCCUGCCCGAGCCCGGGGUGAGACUGCAGUCAGAAAAACAUGCUAAAGACAAGACUAAUAUAUUGUGGCUUUAGCCACCUCCCCCUUCAUCAUGACAAAGGUUGGCGUUCUCAGCUAUGUCUGAUCCCUCCUACUGUAUCAGGCUACCGCCCAGCUGCCUGUCAUGGCACAAUCUGCUUCUCUUCUCCUAAUGCCUGACUGCCACUGAAGGCAAACCAUAUCACAAUAUGAAAGCCACACAAGCUUAUGAAAUCCUACUCCACAUGAGCUGGCACAUCCUGAAUUCAGUACAGAUCUUCCUAUUAGCUUCAGCCAGCACAGAGCAGAAACCCUCUCUGCUGCUGAAAGUCCUUUCCAAGUCAAGGGGCUCUUGCCCCAUCCAAGCAGCUCCCAGCCAUUGCAAGGCUGUUCCCAGAAUUGGCCACUUGGUAAGUGCAGUGACUGGAGAGUUAAACAGGAGCAGCCUUGUGAUGCUCAGAAAGCUGCUUGGACCAGGCAAUUUCCAUGAGUAUUGAGUACAUCUGAAGAAAUCAUAGCCAUGACAGGAGAAGCAGUUAAGUCCAAAGUAUUAUCUGAGGCCAAAGGGAGUAAAAGAAUCCUGAAACCAUGUUCCCGACUCUGUCUUGACAACAGCUUACCGCUCUCUUCUGCCUUCUUAAAAACAGGGAGGAAAGCUGCCAUGCACAAACAUUUUUAUCAUUGUCUCUCAAUACCCAAAGUACCUGACACAGCAAGAAGAAACCUCUCAAUGGAGACCAUGCAGUCCUGAAGCAUAUUUUGGAAACAGCUGUCAGGCCUCAUGAAUAAAAAGUGAAUUACAAAGUGCAUUAGAGUAACCACUGUGUCAGCUAAUACCCUAAUAAGGGUUUCUGGCUUUAUCACAGACAUCAGAUACAGAAGAGAUCUUAUUAGGCCUAGCUCAUCCUUGGGGAACACAGUAGGAUUAGUCUGUGUAGGAUAGGAGCAAGUGCUUUGUUUUACCUGGGCAACAGAGAUCUGUGAUUGAUUUCCCAUGUGCAACGUCCUAAGGACAGGAGUGCCAAAGAGCUGAGCCAGGCAAAUGCUCCUCUACAGAGCUUUACACCAUUACUGCAAGCCCAAAGGGAAACCACUUCCUUGCUUAUCAACUGCCAUUUAACUUAAUUAUAAUAUUCCUACACUUACCUGGUUUUAGUCACAUCCUUUUUCACUGCUCAUCUCUGCUUUUCCUACCUCUGCCAGGAGGUUGUGAAUAUCCACAAUGCACUUGCUUGGAGUGUGACAUUGACAAGAAAGGAAAAUGCUCUGAAAACCUAAGCCAGACACUGACCUCUCCUUCCAGCCAGAAGUGGGGCUGAAAACUGGCUUGCAGCUUGUCAGAGCACUGAGAGGCCUCAGACAUGGCAAGGUGUUAACAGGGGGAUCCCAGGACAUCACACCAGCUGGGGAAUCUUCAUAUCCCUUCACACACCUGCUUACCUAUUUUUCUGCCUGAUGUCCUGUCCUUCAUUCCAGGGAUUACUUGCCAGUCCUUCACCAACUUUGUGUUCCCCAAACCUGCCUCCUCCCCAUCCUCUUUUACUGGGUUUUCCAACUUCUCCUACAAGUGCAGUACAGAAUUUGGUAAUCCUCCCUGUUUCUGGAGUCUCUCCUUCCAACUUGCCUCCUAGAUGUUAGGGUCCCCAUUCCUUUCCCCAUCAUAGGAGCUCUGGGCACACACCUGCCUGCAUUGCUCCCACUUCCAGAAGUUCUGUCCCCAAGCUUUCCACCACACACAUAAUCCCUCCAAGUGUCUGAAGACAGAGCAAGACUGUUCAAUAGCUUAAGGUGUUCUCUAGGAGGAACAGGAGCAGGCAGAUGAUGGAAGCUGGACUUCACUGUGAAGGAGGCAGUUGAAAUCUCUAUUUGGCAGUGCUGCAAAAGCCAGAACAAGCCUUUUCACAUUUACAUCUCUCUCUUAAUCAAGCAUCCUCAUGUGUGGGCUGUAAGCAAUUCUGCUGUCAGUCAUUUUCAUUGCCAUUGGUUCCACUUUCAACUGGAGGAACCAAAUAUUCACUGAAACAGCAAUGGAUAAAAAGGAACUGAAAUGACAGUCACCAUGCUAGACAUUUCCAUCCCUGAGUCAGUGCAUAUUUUAAGCCAAAUGAAAGAGAUCUAACAAGAAAAGCUUGGAGAAAAGACAAGCUAAGCUAAUAGUCUGGUAGUUAGAAUGGUUCCCUGGGAGAUGCAAUAUCAAAUCCCGUUAGAGAAAGGAGGCAGUGAAGCAGAAUCUUUCAGCAUCCUGGACAGACUCUAUACCCACCGGGCUCUUUGGCAAAAGAGAGGUAAUACUGGCACUUUCACCCUCUUGCUCCCUUUCUACCUCCCACGUUGUCUUCAUGUUGGAACUCUAUUAGAGGUCUUUGAAGCAGCCGUCUUGUGUGUAGACAAGAAGGUCUCAGUGCAUACAAGCACCUGCUUAUCCUACUGAAGGGCCUUGAAGCAAGCUUCUUCCCCAAAGGUUCUCUAGGAAUAUAAACUCUCAUGGGAUAAGAAGUGGAUGAAUGAUUAAAGGGUGGGAAACAAAAGGUGAAAAUAAGCAGCAGUCUUUCACAAUGGAGGAAGUUCACCAGGGCAGUAUCAGAGGGUAAGUGUUGAAGGCUGUGAUGUUCUGUGGGCUCAGUACAUUACAUGGCAAAUAAGUGGGCAAUAAAUGUGACAAACCUGCUGAUGGCAUGAGGACAUGCUGAGUAAAACCAGAAGGGUUACCUGUGAAGAGCUGCAAAAUAACCAUGUGCCACCAAGUGACAAGGUGAGAAAACAGUAGAAAAACUGCAACCUAGAAAUUCAAAAUAAUGGACAUGGGAAAAGCAGUGCUGACCUCAUUACAUCAAGAUGGGCUCUUGAGCUGAUUCUUGGAAAUAACAGAAUGGAGAAUGUUGGGAUAAUACGGUGGUGCAUCUGCAUCCCAAAGACUGCACGCACUUCUGGUCCUGCCAGCUGCAAAAGGACUUAGCAGAACAUAAAGUUCUUGAAGAAGAGCAAUGGGAAAAAUUUGAAAGUGCUUCCAUACAAAAAGACUAAGGCCAGACUGAGACUGGAAAAGGGACAACUGAAGGACAACACAAUAAAGGUAUUUUAAAUCAUUAA